UACAGAGGUCUCAAGCGUUGUUCGGGUUCAUUGGGCGUAAAGGGUGUGUAGGUGGCGCCGUAAGUCGGGUGUGAAAUUUCGGAGCUUAACUCCGAAACUGCAUUCGAUACUGCCGUGCUUGAGGACUGGAGAGGAGACUGGAAUUUACGGUGUAGCGGUGAAAUGCGUAGAUAUCGUAAGGAAGACCAGUGGCGAAGGCGGGUCUCUGGACAGUUCCUGACGCUGAGGCACGAAGGUCAGGGGAGCAAACGGG
rnacentral:rRNA from 1 species